rnacentral:lncRNA from 10 species
UCUGGCUGGACACAAGUGUCUACAGAAGAAUAGCAGGUUUCACAUGGCAUUUGUGCUUGCCUCAUGAUAUGGUUUGGCUGUGUCCCCACUCACAUCUCAUCUUGAAUUCCCACAUGUUGUGGGAGGGACCUGGUGGGAGGUAAUUGAGUCAGGGGGCAGAUCUUUCCCAUGCUGUUCUUGUGAUAGUGACUAAGUCUCAUGAGAUCUGAUGGUUCUAUAAGGGGGAGUUUCCCUGCAUAAGCUCUCUCUGUGCCUGCUGCCAUCCACGUAAGAUGUGACUUGCUCCUCCUUGCCUUCCGUCAUGAUUGUGAGGCGCUCCCAGCCAUGUGGAACUGACGAAACACUGGAACUCUCCAGAAUAAAUUGGUACCUGGGUCUCUUCUGAAGUGAGCUGCUCUUAGGAGCUUCAAAUGAGGGUCUUUGAAGCCACAUGAAAAUUGAUGAGUGGUUGUAACAUCCAAGCUACCAAAUCAGACACACUUGUAAUUGUUCCCAAUAGUUUCUUAGCAGGCAUUUUGGAGGAAAAGAUUUGGAUCAGAAAUUCAGAAAUUACCUGGGCUCACAAAUAUAUGCCCCUCCAGCACCAUCCUGCAUUCUGCUUCCAAGAUACAUGAGCUUUCUGAAGAGCUGGUGAGAAUGCUGAAACUUCCUGGCCUUGGUUUCCCAUCUGGUAAAAUGAGGAAGACCAAAGCUUAACUCUCACAAGGAAUAUGCAGCAGGGAGAAGUCUAAGAGACAAAAUCAAUAAGGCUAGAGAAGAUUGGCUUUCUCUGGAUACUGUACCUUAUCCAUGUGAACAGGAGAUUUUAUAGUGACUUGUUUCAGUAUAAACAAAGAGGACUGGAAUAACUGAUUGCUGAGGACUCCAAUCAUGGCAGCACUGUAUGAUAUGAAUGUAAAAUAAGCAUGACUGACUGCAACAAGAAGGCAGCCUGAAUCUACCUGAAGAAUCCUCAGGCCAUCCGAUUUGAUGAUAUAGUCAGUAGGAUUGUUUGGUUUGCUAGUAACAUAAAUUCAAAGCUUCAGGAAGGAGACUGGGCACAGCGGCUCAUGCCUGUAAUCCCAGCACUUUGGGAGGCCAAGGCGAGUGGAUCAUUUGAGGCCAGCAGUUCUAGACCAGCCUGGCCAAUAUGGUGAAACGCCGUCUCUACUAAAAAUACAAAAAUCAGCUGGGCAUGGUGGCACAUGCUUAUAAUCCCAUCUACUCAGGAGGCUGAGGCAUAAGAAUCGCUUGAACCCAAGAGGUGGAGGUUGCAGUGAGCCAAGAUUGUGCCACUAUACUCCAGCCUGGGUGACAGAGCAAGACUCUGUCUCAAACAAAACAAAACAAAACAAAACAAAACAAAACAAAAACAACAAAACACACACACACAAACACCAAAGCUUCAGGAAAAAAAAGGCAGACUAAAUUAUAUGGUAAGUAGGCUGUUUCAUUGAACUGAAAUGCAAAAGUAAACCGGAGAUGUAAGUUGUCACAAGAUCUCUCUUCUUGGUUCUCUUUCCACUGCUCAAUCCAUACAGUGAGUAAAAUUUUACGUCUUAACUCUCUCCUGCUCCUCAUUCCUAGCUUGGCCCACUCAAGACCAGACUUGAAUUAAACAUCAAAAUCAUGGUUUCUAGAGCCCCAGUUUCUGGAUGAGAUAGGGUAGAGGAAUGACAGAGAAUGAUUCCCAGAGAAAGGGGUGUUGUUUGUUAAAGGCAAAACAUGCUUGCAAUAGACAUAGAAAACUUUGGAGAGGGACAGUCUAUGGUAGUUAUUUAAGAAGAGUUACUUAGUAUUUCAUGAAUUAUGAGUCAGACUUUUUGAGUCAAACUUAUGUUAAGAGAGGGUUUCAUUUAUGACAAGCAAUAGUUGGCAUUGUUUAAUCCUGUGGUAUAGUAGAAAGAACAGCUUUGAAAUUUGAUAGGCCUAGCUUUCAAUGUAAGUUCUGCCACUUCUGGCUGAGUUUCACUGGAUAAGUGAUUUAACCUUUCUGUAAAAUGGGCAUAAUAAUAAUGCCCACCUUGUAAAGUUGCUUUGAGAAUUAAAGACAGAUGUACAAGAAUUGAGCACACUGGUACAUAAUUUUUUCUUCCUGCCCUUUUCCAGGGUUCAAAGGUGAAGUGGCAUAAUAAAUUAGAGAGGGGUGGAGAGGAAGAUUAAACCAGAUUUAGAAGUGUUGCAGUCUGGCACUGAGAUCUCUAGCUGUGGGGUCUUAGGCAAGUUACCGUAUCUCACUGUUUUUCAGUUUCCUGACAAACAAAAAAAAAGAGGUUCAGGACCGGGGGUUUCUAUUGCUUUUGGGAGGCCAAGGGUUCCCUAGAAGUGCUUAGGUAUUGCUGAGUGUGUGUGUGUGUGGUAGGAGGUAGUAUGGGGGGAGGAUAAAUAGCAAGGAAAGUACCAUUUGGUAGAAUUUCUCCUACCUCCCACCCCUCUUUUAAAAAUCUGUUUUAUAAAUUGAGGUUUUGUGUCAGAUUUGUAUUGGGGAAAGAAAAGGUUUGCUGUUUAAAAAAUUAAAAAGCAUCUUGAAAAAUACCAGAUGAGAUGCUCUCUCAAGUCUUUCUUGCUCUAAAACAUGAGGCUCUGCUAAAUGCCUUCCAUUGUUAAGGCCGAGCUACCCCCAGAGCCAGAGGCAGCCUGGACAUUUUCAGCAACCCAUUAAGUCAUCUAUUCUGGGACAGCAGGAAAAACAAACCCUACAAAGGGCAGUGGCUAAAACAGAAAGAGAGAGAGACUCAUCCAGCUUGUCCAGAAAACAAACCCAACACAUCCUCUCAAGAUGCAUCCUUAAUAUAAUAUAGGAAAUGUCAUCAGGACCAUAAAGUUGUCUCUUUCAAAGUGGAUGAACAACCCGGCGUUGCUUAGAUGACAGCUUAGGGUUUCCCGGCUUCAACAGAGGACAGCUCAAGAGCCCAAAGCUGUCCUAAGUGGUCACCCUUACUAAAACAGUUGGCCCUGUGUGGUAACUGUGAAAACAUCUAUGUCUGUCAUAAGCCCCACCGAUGAUGGAUGAGUCUAAACAGAAGAUAUUCACAGGGGAAUAAGGGAUCUAGCUUGGGCAUUUUGUGCUCUGUUGAGCUAGGUAGGAAGCAGAAUGAAAAGCAGAUUAUUCUCUUGAUAAGAAAUGCAUUCUUAGAGCAACAACCACACGAGGAAAAGAAAGGCUCCAUUAUUUCUGUAAAGGAAGAUCACACACAGAUAAUUUAUAUAUUGAAGUCAGGUAUGCUGGAAGGCACCUUAAAGAUAAUCCAGUCUGGUAGUUUUCAAACUUUUUUGGAGUAGGUUUUCUAGCAGAAAGCUUAAAAAUGGGAUACAUUCAAAAAGUUUCACCAGAACAUUAAUUCAGGUUGAAGUAGGAAUGAGGGACUCAGCCCUGCCUGAUCUAUGCAACCACCUCCUUCUCUACCAUAACAUCCCUUGUAGGACAGACUCUCAAGACACCUCCAUGAAUCUUUGAGGGCUCCCAGGAACAGUUUAAAAAUCACUCAUUAGUCCUACCUUCCCUAUUUACAGAUGACAAAACUAAGCACAGAGAGGCCAAGUGAUCUGCCCAGAAUUCCAGGCAUACUGAAAAGGGAGACCAAAGCUAAAGCCAGGCCUCCUGAUGUCAAGCUCAGUGUUCUCAUUAUUAUAUAACAUGGGAUCAUUCCCAGAAGAUUUUUGAAACCACCUGCGGUCACCUCUUAGGAGUCACAUAGUUGGAUAUAAACUGCUUAAAGUCUCUGUGAAGUUUCUUUCUUUGCUUGUCUAAAGAAUUUCUGGAAGGAAGGAAGGAAUGGAAGAAGGGAGGAAGGGAGGUAGGGAGGCAUGCAGGGAGGAAGGGAG